rnacentral:rRNA from 1 species
UACGGGGGGGGCAAGCGUUGUUCGGAAUUAUUGGGCGUAAAGGGCUCGUAGGCGGCCAACUAAGUCAGACGUGAAAUCCCUCGGCUCAACCGGGGAACUGCGUCUGAUACUGGAUGGCUUGAAUCCGGGAGAGGGAUGCGGAAUUCCAGGUGUAGCGGUGAAAUGCGUAGAUAUCUGGAGGAACACCGGUGGCGAAGGCGGCAUCCUGGACCGGCAUUGACGCUGAGGCGCGAAAGCCAGGGGAGCGAACGGG